rnacentral:rRNA from 1 species
GACGAACGCUGGCGGCGUGCCUAAUACAUGCAAGUCGAGCGCUUCUUUCCUCCCGAGUGCUUGCACUCAAUUGGAAAGAGGAGUGGCGGACGGGUGAGUAACACGUGGGUAACCUACCCAUCAGAGGGGGAUAACACUUGGAAACAGGUGCUAAUACCGCAUAACAGUUUAUGCCGCAUGGCAUAAGAGUGAAAGGCGCUUUCGGGCGUCGCUGAUGGAUGGACCCGCGGUGCAUUAGCUAGUUGGUGAGGUAACGGCUCACCAAGGCCACGAUGCAUAGCCGACCUGAGAGGGUGAUCGGCCACACUGGGACUGAGACACGGCCCAGACUCCUACGGGAGGCAGCAGUAGGGAAUCUUCGGCAAUGGACGAAAGUCUGACCGAGCAACGCCGCGUGAGUGAAGAAGGUUUUCGGAUCGUAAAACUCUGUUGUUAGAGAAGAACAAGGACGUUAGUAACUGAACGUCCCCUGACGGUAUCUAACCAGAAAGCCACGGCUAACUACGUG